AAUUGUGCUCUAUUUGUGUACAAUGAAUCGAAGAGCAUUCUGCUGUCAUGUAUAACUGAUUAAAACAAGUUUUUAAAAAGUGUGUACAUGUGUACACUUAUGGUGGGGGGGGGGAGAAGCAAAAGACCAAGAACUAGAGAUAAUGAUGGAAAUUAGAAUAAAAAAAACAGAGAGAAAGAAUGAUUAUCUCUGAUUUAGAGAACUGAGAGGGAGGUUUUUGAGGUGAGGGAUGGAUAGAACCUUGAGGAGUGGGCAGCAUUUUAAUAAGGUGAGUUUGGAUGAGCAAAGGGACCCAUGGGUACCAGUCAUCUGUUGUAUUUGGGCUGGGGUAUAGGGCCUAGGGAAUAGAAAAGAUUGGAGCACUUGUUGGGAUCAGACAGCAAAGUUUAUUAGAGGCAAGGGUUAGGAGUUUGCAUCGGGUCUAUGUAGCUAUUUAAGGUUUUGUGACAAUACUGGGACUUGUACUAUAUUUUGAGGAGACUCAUCUGGCAGCAAUGGAAUGCAAAGACUAUAAAGGAAAGAGAAAAGAUUCCGGAAAACAAGUGAACACAAUAAUCAUCCAGAAGUAAUGGACUGACUACUUGAACUAAGGAUGGAGAAAGGCAACAGGACAAACAGUGAAGUGUCCCAGAGAGGAGAGGCCCAGCCUGGAUAACUCGAGUUUCCUGAUCUCCAAAAAGAGGAAGGGAGAACCACCCUCAGAAGUUGAUUGUGGAAAUUGGAAGGGUCCAUGAAGGCCAAGCAUCUAACUCACAAUAGGGACAUUCAGGGAAGAAGGAUCCUCUCUUGACCUCAGCAUACCCCAGAACUAUGAUCAAUAACAAUCUCCAAGCUACAGAAAGGGCAUGAAAGCUGACUUCCAAUAAACCUGGAUAUCCAAACUGC